UUUGGCAGACCUCCCACUCCCUGAGACCCUAAUCUGUGAUGUUAAAUUGAGUUCUCACAGGUUAGGUCUCUCAGGUGCGGGCGGUAGCCUCA
rnacentral:pre_miRNA from 1 species